rnacentral:misc_RNA from 1 species
AAAGUCGUAACAAGGUUUCCGUAGGUGAACCUGCGGAAGGAUCAUUAACAUUGGUCAUUUUUAUGGUGCCGUCCAGGCGCCGUGAGAUGGCCUCAACUAGAGGAGGUUUCUUCAUCAAAGAAGAGACCCCAACAAAGGCUGAUGACGAAGUUUUGUAUCUUUGACACCACACACAGUCCUUUAUCCUCGCAAAACAAAGUGAUGGCUCGGAAAAGAUUCUCCUAACUAUUAUCCUCUCUUCUAAGUUCUCCAUGAUAAACAUAAACAACUAAAAACUUUUGACAACGGAUCUCUUGGCUCUC